ensembl:lncRNA
CUCUUUCCACAUCAUCUGAGGUUUGGUUGUGACCUCCUUUUCAAAGGCUAGACAAGAUAGAGAAGCUUGCAUUAGCAUACUACCUGACAGGACAACUUUGCAGAGUGGGUUGGUAAAAUACGAUGGCAAAUUUUAGAAGUCAAUAAUCUCUACCUACCAAGAGUAAAAUUAGCAUUGCCUACUCCUCUCCCACAUAGAAAACAAUGAUCCAUAUCUUAAAUGAAAUGUCUCAAAUCUCACUACUCAUCCCUGCAGCCAUCCGGUCCAUCAAAGUAUGAAACAAGCAGAGGAGAGCUCGAGUUCAACGACGCUCUAAGGGGAAAUGAAUGUCUGGCAUCAGCACUGGAGGCUACUCAUUUUGAAGAACUUCAUAGCACAUAGAGAUUUGACAGAAAAACAACGUGGAUGGAAUGGCUGGUGAUUUUCCCAAGGAAAGAUGACCCUAAUCUUCCAGAAGGACAGAAAAACAAGACCAGCCAGAGUUUUAUCCAUUACUGCAUCAGAGAUGACUGGCUUGAAUUUGGUCAAAGGAUUAUGGGCUCAGUGCACCAGAAGCACUGAACUGGGGCAGCAGAGGAAGGAAAGGAAAAG